rnacentral:rRNA from 1 species
AUGGCCAUGGACGACGCGGGGCGCUCGGAGUUGCCCACGGACGUCUUGGUGGAGAUCCUGCUGCGGCUGCCGCCGAUUUGCCGGCGCCGAGUCCGCCUCGUCUGCAGGCUCUGGCGCGACGUCAUCGACGAGUGCACCACGGAGAUGCAGAGCCGCGCCACGGCCCUCCUCUGGGAUACCCGGGAGGCGGUCGCCUACGUCGUCGGCGACCUGUCCAAGCCGUCGACGACGAGCUACAAAGAGCUGUGGCGUCGGGACAGAGCGGUACCAUACAUGCGGCCCCCUAGUAGCCUGCAGCUGAUCGGCACGUGCAAUGGUCUUCUCUGCCUGUGCGACAACAAGACGGCUCCCGGCGGCGCCGUCACCCUGGUCAACCCGGCCACCGACGAGGUGCUCCCCGUCCCGCCGCUGCCUUGCGCACUCUCGUAUUUCCCGCCUACGGGGCGAUACACCUCCUGGGAGAACUGGCACGAGGCGUACAGCUUCGGGUACCACCCUACAUCAAGUUGGGUCGUGUCAUUUGACCUCGAGAGCGAGGAGGUCACUCGUGUCAAGGGGCUGCCUGCCCAACCGGGCAGGCCUGAUCACUACCACCUGACAGAGGUGAACGGGAGGCUGGGCAUUGUUGUCCGUAGCCUUUCGGGAACAAUAAAGGUGUGGGUUAUGGACAAGGGACGGCAAAAGUGGAGCUAUCGGUACAACCUCACGCGGUAUCGUGUCCCGCGGCCACACUUCGUGUAUGGCGAGUGCAUCUUGACACUGCAGGAGUGCUCGAUAUGUGGUCAUUACAGACAUAAAGGCAUGUGGUCAUCAUCCAACAACACGGUGACGGUGCGGGUCAGGCACCAGGCUCAUGGGACGCUGAUGGCGGCUAUAAUAGCCGGCUGGUGCCGGACAUUCUCCUACGUCAAGACGAUAGAGCCACUUAGCAUUUAUAAGUUGCCAAUAGUUAAUGCCUAA